GCUGGCAUAGCUCAGUGAUUGAGCAUCUACCUAUGAAGUAGGAGGUCCUGGUUCGAUUCCUCGUCAUGGCA
rnacentral:tRNA from 1 species